rnacentral:pre_miRNA from 9 species
UCUCGAUAGCAUAAAAGUUUACUAAAAUUUGUAUGGAGUUGGAACGUUUACCUACGUUUGCCGCUAAGGGCGCUCUUCCAACUGCAUACAAAUUUGAGUUAAUUUUUUCGCUAUCGA